rnacentral:rRNA from 1 species
CCCCUAGAUGUUCUGGGCCGCACGCGCGCUACACUGAACAGUUCAACAAGUCUUAACCUUGGCCGAUAGGUCUGUGUAAUCUUUGAACGCUGUUCGUGAUUGGGAUAGACCUUUGCAAUUAUGGGUCUUCAACGAGGAAUUCCUAGUAAACGCAAGUCAUCAGCUUGCAUUGAUUACGUCCCUGCCCUUUGUACACACCGCCCGUCGCACCUACCGAUUGAAUGGUCCGGUGAAAUCUCGGGACGGCGGCUUGGUCGCUUGCGUCCGACUGCUGAAACUUGAUUAAACCAUAUCAUUUAGAGGAAGGUGAAGUCGUANCA